UGUCUGCUAUUUUCGCAGAAACUAAAAAAAAAUACAUAAAAUGAAUCUGUUGAUAAACAGCUUUUAAUUUACAAAUACACGAGCAGUUAAAACCUAAAACUAACUAUCGGGGCGUAACAUUUACUUAAAGCUAAAACCCAUACUUUUGAGAAGAUGCCUUUUUGUUUGAUCGUUGCUGCUCAAAAUAAGCUUCAAAGUUGUCUUUUUGACUGAUAGCCAUUUCAACAAGAGAAGACAGUUGAUGACGACCAGGUGCAACACUUUUAAUAGUAGGGGCGCUUGGCAAUGCUUCUUGGGUCGGUUUUGGAAGUUUGUUGAUAUCAACGUCUAUAAUUCGUCCCUUCUCUUUUCGGUGGCGUCCAAUUUCAAUGUAAUCUUCAUUGAUAAUGUUUAUGUCCUCUGCAUUUGAAUGUACUGAGUGAUUAGCAAUAGAAAUGAAAUCGUUCUCGGGUUGAUUCCUCAAUUUCGGAGGAUUUGCUCUAGCUUUAGGUUUUAUCAAAAUUGGUUGGUAAGGUUUCUGAUCGGAAUCUACUAAAGAGGCUUGCUUUGACUCUGAUCCUACGAUAUUAAAUAACGAAACGUUACCAGACUUUUCUGAAUACGUUGAUUUCUUGACAGUUUCGGAGGAUCCAGUAGAGGUUAAAUCGCUUACAGAGUUAUUAGGUAAUAAAUAGUUUUCAUUUAAAUCAAGGUCCGAUCUUUUAGAUGACUUUGGAGCUAAUUCAGCUUGAUUUUUUGGGGCAGGCAAAAGUUCAAGUAAAUCAUUAGAUUUAAAUCGUUCAUUAGAGAUAACAUCAGAUUCAUUAAAAGUUUUAUCAUUAAAAGAAGAUUUCUGUAAAUCAACUUGCCGUUUCAGGCGUUUAGGUGACUUUUUAGUGCUGUCAACCGACAAUUUUCUGCGCGCAUGCUGAAACAAAGUAGGAUCGAAACUUUUAGAAGCUAAUGGUGUUUCUUCUUCAAUAUCGCUUUCGGAUUCUGAUCGAGGAUAUGAAACCAGAGACAUAUUUUAUUAACUUUUGAUAUUAAGUCGUUUAAUAAUUCUGAGCGAGCGAUUUGUACUCGGUAACUAUUCUCACUGCGAACAGAAUUAUUUAUGGCAAUUAAUAUACUCGCAUCUGCAAGAUGAUUUACA